UGGAAAAUAAAAAUUAGUAGAAUGACCAUAAAGACUGGGAAAAGGGAAAGAAAAGAGCAGGCAAGGAGGAAAAUCAAGAUAAAAAAUAAUGCUAAGCUUGGGCAUCAAGAAGGUAAUUUUCAAAAAGUUUUAUUUAAUCUUUCAAGAAAUGUUUAUUGAGCUUUCCAAGUAUCAGGCCUUACUUUAGGUAUUUAAGUUGUAGUUGCUUUCAAAAACUCUCUUUCUUCAUAGAGCUUACAUUCUAGGCUGGGGAAUUCAGGCAAUAAAUAGGAUAAGCAAGUAAAAUGUAUGGUAUGUUGGAUAAUGAUAAGUGGUUAGCAGAGGAAUGAAGUGGGGUCGUGUGGGUAGAGCAUGUAACAUCAGGUGGACUGGGCCAGGAAGACUUUACCGAGUAAGGAUCUGAAGAAAGUGAAGUGAAUAAGCUAUGGUUAUUUUGCUUCCUAGUUCAUGGGGGAAAUGAAAGCACUCAGAAGAACAGUCCAGGCAGGGAGACUAGCAAGUUCAAAGCUUCAUAGAUGGGAGCAUGCCUGAUAUAUUCAAGGAAAGGCUAGGAAACCAGUAAAGCUACAAUGGGAUAAAUGAAGAGGAGGAGAGAAGGAGGGGAGAUGACAAAAAAGACUUUGGAAGAUGUUAAGCAGAGAGUGCCAUAUGACAUACUUGAAUAUGAUAAUUUUAUUGCUGUUUCAACAGAAUCUAAAAAAGAGCAAGGACAGAAAAAGGAAGAGCAGCAAGGAUGCUACUGCACCAACCCAGAGAAAGCCAAGAUAUUGUGGGGGCAGAUGGAACAAUGGAACCAAUGAAACAGAGGUCAAAGCUGAAGGUUUCUGCUAGAAGCAAGCUAUAUACAG
rnacentral:lncRNA from 1 species